ACUUUACCAAAGGGUACAAGAAUGAGCUAACACACUCCAAGACUGUGACAUUUUUCUACGUGAGUCAAGGCUGAACUUCCAUUUAUUAAUCAAGUGAAAGCAAACUCAAAAUUUUCUCAACAGAAAUGGUACUAGGGUAUAAUGAAUGUAAAGUCUAACUAAAGAACGAACAAUCCCAGCCACCAAAAAGACAAUCAAUAGAAAUAAAAUAA
rnacentral:lncRNA from 10 species